AAGAGAGGAGGGAAAAAGGAGAGAAGAACUUACUCGGGUAAUGGAGGUCACAGCCUCCCUUUGUUGGCUACUGAAAUUCUGCCCCUCGAUCCUAUCUAGAUCAAUAGAUAGGAGCAUCCCCUCCAAUACUUCAUGUGCAACCCUCCAAUCUUUAAAUGAAGCAUUUGGUGGAAGGGGAGUCACGUAAGUUCUUGGUUGUUCGGGACCUUAGCGAGAAUCGAACUUGAUUGCUUAUCUCGAGGCC
rnacentral:lncRNA from 1 species